rnacentral:tRNA from 1 species
GGGUGAUUAGCUCAGCUGGGAGAGCACCUCCCUUACAAGGAGGGGGUCGGCGGUUCGAUCCCGUCAUCACNACCCACCA